rnacentral:rRNA from 1 species
GACGAACGCUGGCGGCGUGCUUAACACAUGCAAGUCGAGCGGUAAGGCCCUUUCGGGGGUACGACGAGCGGCGAACGGGUGAGUAACACGUGGGUGACCUGCCCUCAGCUCUGGGAUAAGCCUGGGAAACCGGGUCUAAUACUGGAUAUGACUCCAUGACGCAUGUUGUGGGGUGGAAAGCCUUGUGCGGCUGAGGAUGGGCCCGCGGCCUAUCAGCUUGUUGGUGGGGUGAUGGCCUACCAAGGCGACGACGGGUAGCCGGCCUGAGAGGGCGACCGGCCACACUGGGACUGAGACACGGCCCAGACUCCUACGGGAGGCGAGCAGUGGGGAAUCUUGCGCAAUGAGCGAAAGCCUGACGCAGCGACGCCGCGUGAGGGAUGACGGCCUCGGGUUGUAAACCUCUUUCAGCUCCGACGAAGCGAGAGUGACGGUAGGAGCAGAAGAAGCACCGGCCAACUACGUGCCAGCCGCCGCUGUAAC